rnacentral:rRNA from 1 species
AUUGAACGCUGGCGGCAGGCCUAACACAUGCAAGUCGAACGAGUGGCGGACGGGUGAGUAAUGUCUGGGAAACUGCCUGAUGGAGGGGGAUAACUACUGGAAACGGUAGCUAAUACCGCAUACCAUCGGAUGUGCCCAGAUGGGAUUAGCUAGUAGGUGGGGUAAAGGCUAACCUAGGCGAAGAUCCCUAGCUGGUCUGAGAGGAUGACCAGCCACACUGGAACGGACACACGGUCCAGACUCCUGCGGUAGGCAGCAGUUGGGAAUGUUGCACAAUGGGCGCAAGCCUGAUGCAGCCAUGCCUCGUGGAUGAAGGAGGCCUUCGGGUUGUAAAGUACUUUCAGCGGGGAGGCGUUACCCGCAGAAGAAGCACCGGCUAACUCCGUGCCAGCAGCCGCGGUAAUUC